UAAUACGUAGGGUGCAAGCGUUGUCCGGAAUUAUUGGGCGUAAAGGGCUCGUAGGCGGUUUGUCACAUCGGGAGUGAAAACUCGGGGCUUAACCCCGAGCCUGCUUCCGAUACGGGCUGACUAGAGGUAUGCAGGGGAGAACGGAAUUCCUGGUGUAGCGGUGAAAUGCGCAGAUAUCAGGAGGAACACCGGUGGCGAAGGCGGUUCUCUGGGCAUUACCUGACGCUGAGGGGCGAAAGUGUGGGGAGCGAACAGGAUUAGAUACCCCUGGUAGUCCACACCGUAAACGUUGGGCGCUAGGUGUGGGACUCAUUCCACGAGUUCCGUGCCGCAGCUAACGCAUUAAGCGCCCCGCCUGGGGAGUACGGCCGCAAGGCUAAAACUCAAAGGAAUUGACGGGGGCCCGCACAAGCGGCGGAGCAUGCGGAUUAAUUCGAUGCAACGCGAAGAACCUUACCUAGGUUUGACAUAUACCGGAAACACCUAGAGAUAGGUGCCCCGCAAGGUCGGUAUACAGGUGGUGCAU
rnacentral:rRNA from 1 species